CCUACGGGAUGCAGCAGUGGGGAAUAUUGCGCAAUGGGCGAAAGCCUGACGCAGCGACGCCGCGUGAGGGAUGAAGGUCUUCGGAUCGUAAACCUCUGUCAGCAGGGAAGAACGGUCACUGUGCUAAUCAGCAGUGAAUUGACGGUACCUGCAAAGGCAGCACCGGCUAACUCCGUGCCAGCAGCCGCCGUAAUACGGAGGGUGCGAGCGUUAAUCGGAAUUACUGGGCGUUACGCGCUCGUAGGCGGUAUGUCAAGUCAAGGGGGAAAUCCCCGCGCUCAACGUGGGAACUGCCUUUGAAACUGGCAAACUGGAGUGUGUGAGAGGAUAGUGGAAUUCCAGGUGUAGGAGUGAAAUCCGUAGAUAUCUGGAGGAACAUCAGUGGCGAAGGCGACUAUCUGGCACAUAACUGACGCUGAGGAGCGAAAGCGUGGGUAGCAAACAGGAUUAGAUACCCGUGUAGUC
rnacentral:rRNA from 1 species